UGGGGGUCUGGCAGGGAGACUUCUCUGGAGAGAAGAGAGCAGUCCUCAUUCUCCCCCACACCCUCUCCCAAGGCUGACCACCUCCUACCCAUCUGUGCCUGUGUCGCUCCUCUGCCCUCCCUUUUUCCUUCCAGAGCUAGAUCCUGGAAGAUCUUACCUUUUCCCUGGGAUGAUUCACUCUAUUUGGGACAUCUCCCUUGAUCAUUCGCCCAAACCCUCAAGCAGGAAGGAGAGUGGACUUCAGUCCUACAUGCUGGCCUGCAUUCAGAUGGAGAGCAUGCUAGGGCCAGGUGCAAAAGGUAGCCUGGCCCCUGGGGUGCUUCUCACCCUCCCUGGCGCCUGUCCCUGCCACGCACGUCUGGAGCCCAUGGGGCUGAGUCAUCAAAGGCUGAUUGGGGGCCCCUGUAGUGUGCCCCGCACCAGUCCAGAGCCACCGGCGAUUGCCAGUUGGGACAUAUAAGUCCUGCGACGCGGGGCACUUCAGCAGCCUCUCUGAACCUCAGCUUUCCCAUCUGUGAGAUGGACCCACACUGCUGCUUCUCCCCGGAGGACCCUGUGAGGACUGAAGGAGACAGGGGACCACGGCUCCUGGGAUCACACACACACCUGGGGACGUGCACCUGCUGCCUGGGGACAGCAGACGCUCGGCAGACAGCUAGCUAGUACUACUGUUUACUGCCCUGCUUUUUGUCCUAGGACAACCUUUAACAACGACUUUGAAAACAAAGAUGCUCAAAGAGUGGGAUGUCUCCCUUACUGUGUACUACGCGUGGCCUCCCUAAGGUCUUCCAGAAGCUUCUUCCAGAAUGGAUGCUCCUCUCUAUGCUUCCAUAGGGCAUCUGAUGAUGCAGCUCUUAUCACCGGGGAAAAGCUCCGCGUGCAGGAAGCCUUCCUGCCCAUUUUCCUGCUCAGUGUUGGGAGAAAGGGUCCACCGCAAGGGGCGGCAGCUCCUACAGCAGCGUGCUUUCCGACUUGCCCUCCGCAGAUUUUGCACAACAGUCACCGGCCCACAUUGGAAGCCACCACCACGAAUUAGCUAUAGUGGGGCUCUCGCUGUGUGUCUGGGUCCGAGGUGCCACGGUGGACACCUGUUACAGCAGAGCAUGCACCGUUUGCAUUAAGCAGGCCUGGCUCAGGCCGUGACGCCACAUGGAGUUCUUUGUAACUCUGCUUGCCCCCAGCCAAGCACACCAAGUCAGAUCAUUUUUAUGGGAGAGAAUUCUACAACGGCACACUUGAAUUUUUUCCCCUUCAACCUGCCAAAUGAUUCUUAUCAUUACGUGGUCUCAAAUAUAUUUUAUUAUGAGGCUCUUCCUCUAUUGGAGAUACAAAACUCGACAAAUCCUGUUGACUUUGGAAAGUAGCAAAGAAGGAUUCAGUUAAUCCAGUGCUUGAAGUGGGACCUGGGGCAACCUGCCAAGAUCAUGCUAUUUUUUUGUUUGGAAUCCUACCACCCACCACUCAUUGCCUCCAAACUCCCUCCUUCCCUAUACUCCCCUCUUCUUUCCCUGCUGGGCUCCCUGGGCCCCAACCAGCAGUGUGAGUGAGUGUGGGGUGGAAGCCCUGGGGAGGUGGCACUGGGGAAAGCCAGAGCCCACUGGGCCUCUGUGACUCCCGCCACCCUGGGUUAAGCCCAUGAGAACCUCAGAGCGCCUCGGUGGGCGAGCGGCCUAUGUGGCUGUUGGGACCUGGCAGUGCGGCUCGUCUUUGAACUCUGUAGUCUCACUGAUGCUGUGUGCAGCUGGGGGCCUCUGGCGACAGGCAGCCUCACCUCCCUGGAAGCCUCGCCUCUCUAGCUGCCACUCUUCUCCCCACUUUGUGGCUUGUCCUGUUGUAGCCCACGGCACCCGGAGAAUUCUGCUUUGCCAUCUGCCUUCUGCACUGGACCGUGAGCUCUCAGAGGGAGGGGAAGGCCUUGCUCUUUACUGUAUCAUCACUCCUGGCGUGGGGCAGGCACCUCACUGAUGGGCUGACGGAACGAGUGCAUGGAUGAGCAGAGAGCAUGCAGAUAGUGUGCAUGGAAGAGCUCUGUAAUCAGCAAAGUGGCAUGUGACCAUUUUCUUUAUAAUUGCCAGCACCAGGGGCCUUGCCCAGGACAGAGCUGGCACUCAGCACCGUCAUCCGACAUCCAAAACGAGGGCUGGAAGGCUAAGGGAGCCCGCGGCUGCAGGCCAGGUGCUCAGGAAGCAGGCUCAGGGGGAGUCCAGAGCAUAGGAUGCUCAGUG